GCCCAAGAAACCUACCCACUGGAAGUGACCUAUACAGAUGUGAUAACAAAACCCACGAAGAAGAACGAAGAGGAAACCUCAGCAUCUCCUGUAUAUUCUCUUGUGGGCAAAGCUUGCAGCUCCUCCUGUCUGUACGUUGCAGCAUCCAGCCAGGAGACUCUCAGAGCAACGCCAAAAGCCCAGAAGAAGAGGACGGGUCACGCUCCUCUCCC